rnacentral:rRNA from 1 species
UAGGGAAUCUUCCGCAAUGGACGAAAGUCUGACGGAGCAACGCCGCGUGAGCGAAGAAGGCCUUCGGGUCGUAAAGCUCUGUUGUAAGGGAAGAACAAGCAUCGGUUAACUGCCGGUGCCCUGACGGUACCUUACCAGAAAGCCACGGCUAACUACGUGCCAGCAGCCGCGGUAAUACGUAGGUGGCAAGCGUUGUCCGGAAUUAUUGGGCGUAAAGCGCGCGCAGGGCGGGUUUCUUAAGUCUGAUGUGAAAGCCCACGGCUCAACCGUGGAGGGUCAUUGGAAACUGGGAGACUUGAGUGCAGAAGAGGAAAGCGGAAUUCCACGUGUAGCGGUGAAAUGCGUAGAGAUGUGGAGGAACACCAGUGGCGAAGGCGGCUUUCUGGUCUGUAACUGACGCUGAGGCGCGAAAGCGUGGGGAGCAAACAGGAUUAGAUACCCUGGUAGUCCACGCCGUAAACGAUGAGUGCUAAGUGUUAGGGGGUUUCCGCCCCUUAGUGCUGCAGCUAACGCAUUAAGCAC